rnacentral:rRNA from 1 species
AUACGUAGGGAGCGAGCGUUGUCCGGAAUUACUGGGUGUAAAGGGUGCGUAGGCGGGACUGCACGUCAGCUGUGACAUGCCGGGGCUCAACCCCGGAGCUGCAUUUGAAACUGUGGUUCUUGAGUGAGGUCGAGGCAAGCGGAAUUCCUAGUGUAGCGGUGAAAUGCGUAGAUAUUAGGAGGAACACCAGUGGCGAAGGCGGCCUGCUGGACGACAACUGACGCUGAGGCGCGAAAGCGUGGGGAGCAAACAGGAUUAGAUACCCUGGUAGUCCACGCUGUAAACGAUGAAUACUAGGUGUGGGGGGACUGACCCCCUCCGUGCCGCAGUUAACACAAUAAGUAUUCCACCUGGGGAGUACGAUCGCAAGAUUGAAACUCAAAGGAAUUGACGGGG